rnacentral:rRNA from 1 species
CCUACGGGUGGCAGCAGUGAGGAAUAUUGGUCAAUGGGCGCGAGCCUGAACCAGCCAAGUCGCGUGAGGGAAGACGGUCCUAUGGAUUGUAAACCUCUUUUGUCGGGGAGCAACAGACGCCACGCGUGGCGUUCCGAGAGUACCCGAAGAAAAAGCAUCGGCUAACUCCGUGCCAGCAGCCGCGGUAAUCAGGAAGAUGCGAGCGUUAUCCGGAUUUAUUGGGUUGAAAGGGUGCGAAGGCGGAAGAUCAAGUCAGCGGUAAAAUUGAAAGGCUCAACCUCUUCGAGCCGUUGAAACUGGUGUUCUUGAGUGAGCGAGAAGUAUGCGGAAUGCGUGGUGUAGCGGUGAAAUGCAUAGAUAUCACGCAGAACUCCGAUUGCGAAGGCAGCAUACCGGCGCUCAACUGACGCUCAUGCACGAAAGUGUGGGUAUCGAACAGGAUUAGAUACCCUUGUAGUC